rnacentral:rRNA from 1 species
UACGGAGGAUGCGAGCGUUAUCCGGAUUUAUUGGGUUUAAAGGGUGCGCAGGCGGCCUGUUAAGUCAGCGGUAAAAGCCCGGGGCUCAACCCCGGCGAGCCGUUGAAACUGGCGGGCUGGAGUUGGAGAGAAGUACGCGGAAUGCGCGGUGUAGCGGUGAAAUGCUUAGAUAUCACGCAGAACCCCGAUUGCGAAGGCAGCCUGCCAAGCCAUGACUGACGCUGAUGCACGAAAGCGUGGGGAUCGAACAGG